UCCUCGGUAGUAUAGUGGUUAGUAUUUCCGCCUGUCAUGCAGAGCAUUUACAUCCAAAUGUCGAUCACGCGCCUUGUCGCUGGCCGAUCACUGGACGUUCUUGCAAGACGAAAUCGCGGGAGACCGGGGUUCAAUUCCCCGCCGAGGAG